AAUCAAUAAAGUUUUUUUUUUUUUGGUAUGAUGUAUCUUUAGAGUCAUUAAAUUCAAAAGUUUCUCAAUUUUCUUUUGGAACAUGUACAAUGCAUCUUUUAUUUACAGGUUGGCCUCCUCAUUCAGUUUCUAUUUUUGUGGACAAGAAUUGUAUAGUUAUGUCUUGUUCAUGUGAAUGUCUUUUGCUCUUGUUUGAAAUAUGAAACAUUGUAUUAAAUGUUAUUUGAGAAUUAAU